UACGAACCGUGCGAACGUUGUUCGGAAUCACUGGGCUUAAAGGGCGCGUAGGCGGGCCACCAAGUCCGGGGUGAAAUCCUCCAGCUUAACUGGAGAAUAGCCCUGGAUACUGGUGGUCUCGAGCGAGGUAGGGGCAGCUGGAACUUCCGGUGGAGCGGUGAAAUGCGUUGAUAUCGGAAGGAACGCCGGUGGCGAAAGCGAGCUGCUGGACCUCUUCUGACGCUGAGGCGCGAAAGCCAGGGGAGCAAACGGG
rnacentral:rRNA from 1 species